rnacentral:rRNA from 1 species
UACGAAGGGAGCUAGCGUUGUUCGGAAUUACUGGGCGUAAAGGGCGCGUAGGCGGCUUUAUAAGUCAGAUGUGAAAUCCCUGGGCUUAACCUAGGAAUGGCAUUUGAAACUGUAAGGCUAGAGAUCGAGAGAGGAUAGUGGAAUUGCGAGUGUAGAGGUGAAAUUCGUAGAUAUUCGCAAGAACACCGGUGGCGAAGGCGGCUAUCUGGCUCGAUACUGACGCUAAGGCGCGAAAGCGUGGGGAGCAAACAGG